rfam:Stegodyphus mimosarum contig115123, whole genome shotgun sequence.
CUAUUAUGAUGCUAUCUUAGGACACCUCUGAUUCAUAUGAAGAUAUAUUGCUUCUGAAUAGC